rnacentral:misc_RNA from 1 species
GAUGAAGAACGUAGCGAAAUGCGAUAAGUAAUGUGAAUUGCAGAAUUCAGUGAAUCAUCGAAUCUUUGAACGCACAUUGCGCCCCUUGGUAUUCCGAGGGGCAUGCCUGUUCGAGCGUCAUUACACCACUCAAGCUAUGCUUGGUAUUGGGCGUCGUCCUUAGUUGGGCGCGCCUUAAAGACCUCGGCGAGGCCACUCCGGCUUUAGGCGUAGUAGAAUUUAUUCGAACGUCUGUCAAAGGAGAGGAACUCUGCCGACUGAAACCUUUAUUUUUCUAGGUUGACCUCGGAUCAGGUAGGGAUACCCACUGAACUUAAGCAUAUCAAUAAGCGGAGGA